rnacentral:lncRNA from 1 species
AAUGCUCUCUUCUUCCUCAUUUGUAGAGACAGAAAAACGAAACCCUCGGCUCAAAGUCCAGCAAAGAUCCAAUUGUAGGAACAUAGAGAAAUUGAAACCUAAUACACAGUGAAAGAGAGAUUUGUGUAGCAAUGGCAGAAGAGAAGAAGCAAGAACAAGCAAUUGUACCACCUCCACAAUACAAUUUGGACGCAAAGUGGGACGCUUGUCUUGAUUUGGGGGUUCGCCGUUUCGCAUACUUUUCCUUAAUCGGUGGCUUUGCUGGUCUACUCCUCUUCCGUUAGUGUCUUUUUUCCCCCACAAACUCACAAUUUUUGACUUGCCUUUAUACUGUUUCUAUGGUUUUUUUGUUUUUCUUAGUAUUGUUUGUGUGACCUAAUUAAUCAUUUUGAAAUCGGUGUUGAUUGGAUGAAAUUGGGAAAAUGCUGAAAUGGGUGUCUUUUUUCAUUUCCGAAAUAUUAUAGUUUUGUGGACUGUACCAAGAUAAUUGAAGCUGGAGUUAGAGCUUCUGCUUACCAGCUUCUUCUGUUAUUUUAUCACAGGAGUGGAAAUGCUUUUAUGGUUUUUCUCCUCUAAUAAUGUUUAGUAUUUUGGAAAUUGGAGAAGUUUUGUUGCUUAGUUUUUUUGUGCGAUGUGGUGAUUGUGGAAUUGGUAUCGGAACAGAGAAAUGUUUUUUUGUUUUUCUUAGUAUUGUCUGUGUGACCUAAUCAUUAUGAAAUCGGUGUUGAUUUGAUCAAAUUGGGAAAAUGUUGAAAUGGGUGUCUUUUCUCAUUUUCGAAAUAUUAUAGUUUUGUGGAUUGUACCGAGAUAAUUGAAGCUGGAGUUAGAGCUUUUGCUUACCAGUUUCUUCUGUUAUUUU